rfam:Stagonospora sp. SRC1lsM3a unplaced genomic scaffold IQ06scaffold_5, whole genome shotgun sequence.
GCAUCGGUGGUUUAGUGGUAAAAUUAGCCGUUGCCAUCCAAUUGGAUCAUAUCGGCUAGCCCCGGGUUCGAUUCCCGGCCGAUGCA